AGUGAACGCUGGCGGUAGGCCUAACACAUGCAAGUCGAACGGCAGCACAGUAAGAGCUUGCUCUUACGGGUGGCGAGUGGCGGACGGGUGAGGAAUACAUCGGAAUCUACUUUUUCGUGGGGGAUAACGUAGGGAAACUUACGCUAAUACCGCAUACGACCUACGGGUGAAGCAGGGGAUCUUCGGACCUUGCGCGAUUGAAUGAGCCGAGGUCGGAUUAGCUAGUUGGCGGGGUAAAGGCCCACCAAGGCGACGAUCCGUAGCUGGUCUGAGAGGAUGAUCAGCCACACUGGAACUGAGACACGGUCCAGACUCCUACGGGAGGCAGCAGUGGGGAAUAUUGGACAAUGGGCGCAAGCCUGAUCCAGCCAUACCGCGUGGGUGAAGAAGGCCUUCGGGUUGUAAAGCCCUUUUGUUGGGAAAGAAAAGCAGCAGGUUAAUACCCCGCUGUUCUGACGGUACCCAAAGAAUAAGCACCGGCUAACUUCGUG
rnacentral:rRNA from 1 species